UCCCUGGUGGCUCAGAUGGUAAAGCAUCUGCCUGCAAUGCGGGAGACCUGAGUUCGAUCCCUGGUUUGGGAA
rnacentral:tRNA from 1 species